AUGUGGCUUAGUUAGGGGGCGAACAUCAACUUGAACCAAAUGUUAAUUUGGUUCCUUUUAGGGAGAGGCGGCUUUUUGAAGGGACCCUCUGCAUUCUCGAAUCGGUUGCCCCGAAAGCAGCCUUUUACAUUC